AACGAACGCUGGCGGCAGGCUUAACACAUGCAAGUCGAACGCCCCGCAAGGGGAGUGGCGCACGGGUGAGUAACGCGUGGAUAUCUGCCUUUUGGUUCGGAAUAACCCCGGGAAACUGGGGCUAAUACCGGAUGGUUCCUACAGGAUAAAGAUUUAUCGCCAAAAGAUGAGUCCGCGUACGAUUAGCUAGUUGGUGAGGUAAUGGCUCACCAAGGCGACGAUCGUUAGCUGGUCUGAGAGGACGAUCAGCCACACUGGGACUGAGACACGGCCCAGACUCCUACGGGAGGCAGCAGUGGGGAAUAUUGGACAAUGGGGGCAACCCUGAUCCAGCCAGGCCGCGUGAGUGAUGAAGGCCUUCGGGUUGUAAAGCUCUUUUGGCGGGGACGAUGAUGACGGGACCCGCAGAAUAAGCCCCGGCUAACUUCGU
rnacentral:rRNA from 1 species